AAGGGGCUGCAGCUGCUACUGUGUUCUCUGGGCUCCUUGCAUUCAGAGCCCGGAGCUACCAAGUGGGAGUCAGACCACCUGAGCCCUCAUGUCGUGAGGAUGCCCUAGGGACUGUAUUAGUCAUCUGUAACUGUGUAACAAAUGACCACAGAUUUCAUGGUUUAAAACCACACACGUACUGUGUCACAGUCUCUAUGGGCCAGGAUUCUGAACGGGGCUUAGCUGGGUCUUCUGUCUCCUCUCAAGCUGGGGUUUCAUCUGAAGGCUCAGCUGGGGAAAGAUCUGCUUCCAA
rnacentral:lncRNA from 1 species